rnacentral:rRNA from 1 species
GGAUUAGUGGCGAACGGGUGAGUAACACGUGGGCAAUCUGCCCUGCACUCUGGGACAAGCCCUGGAAACGGGGUCUAAUACCGGAUACUGACCCGCCUGGGCAUCCAGGCGGUUCGAAAGCUCCGGCGGUGCAGGAUGAGCCCGCGGCCUAUCAGCUUGUUGGUGAGGUAACGGCUCACCAAGGCGACGACGGGUAGCCGGCCUGAGAGGGCGACCGGCCACACUGGGACUGAGACACGGCCCAGACUCCUACGGGAGGCAGCAGUGGGGAAUAUUGCACAAUGGGCGCAAGCCUGAUGCAGCGACGCCGCGUGAGGGAUGACGGCCUUCGGGUUGUAAACCUCUUUCAGCAGGGAAGAAGCGCAAGUGACGGUACCUGCAGAAGAAGCGCCGGCUAACUACGUGCCAGCAGCCGCGGUAAUACGUAGGGCGCGAGCGUUGUCCGGAAUUAUUGGGCGUAAAGAGCUCGUAGGCGGCUUGCCGCGUCGGUUGUGAAAGCCCGGGGUUUACCCGCGGCCCUGCAUUCGAUACGGGCAGGUUAGAGUUCGGAAGGGAAGAUCGAAAUUCCUGUUGUAGCGUUGAAAUGCGCAGAUAUCAGGAGGAACGCCGGCGA